rnacentral:rRNA from 1 species
UACGUAGGGUGCAAGCGUUAAUCGGAAUUACUGGGCGUAAAGAGCGCGCAGGCGGUCGAUCAAGUCGAGUGUGAAAGCCCCCGGCUCAACUGGGGAGGGUCAUUCGAUACUGAUCGACUCGAAGGCAGGAGAGGGUAGUGGAAUUCCCGGUGUAGUGGUGAAAUGCGUAGAUAUCGGGAGGAACACUAGUGGCGAAGGCGACUACCUGGCCUGUUCUUGACGCUGAGGCGCGAAAGCUAGGGGAGCAAACGGG